ACGGAGGAUGCAAGCGUUAUCCGGAUUCAUUGGGUUUAAAGGGUGCGUAGGCGGCUUUUUAAGUCAGUGGUGAAAUCCUGUCGCUCAACGAUAGAAUUGCCAUUGAUACUGAAAAGCUUGAGUUCAGUUGAGGUAAGCGGAAUGUGUAGUGUAGCGGUGAAAUGCUUAGAUAUUACACAGAACACCGAUUGCGAAGGCAGCUUACUAAACUGACACUGACGCUGAUGCACGAAAGCGUGGGGAUCGAACAG
rnacentral:rRNA from 1 species